UCCCUGGUGGACCAGUGGUUGGCAUGCGGCGCUCUCACCACCGCAGCCUGGGUUUGAUUCCCGGUCAGGGAG